CGCAAGCCUGACGGAGCAACGCCGCGUGAGGGAUGAAGGCCUCUGGGCUGUAAACCUCUUUUAUCAAGGAAGAAGAACUGACGGUACUUGAUGAAUAAGCCACGGCUAAUUCCGUGCCAGCAGCCGCGGUAAUACGGGAGUGGCAAGCGUUAUCCGGAAUUAUUGGGCGUAAAGCGUCCGCAGGCGGUUUUACAAGUCUGUCGUUAAAGCGUGGAGCUCAACUCCAUUUCAGCGAUGGAAACUGUAAGACUCGAGUGUGGUAGGGGCAGAGGGAAUUCCCGGUGUAGCGGUGAAAUGCGUAGAUAUCGGGAAGAACACCAGUGGCGAAAGCGCUCUGCUGGGCCAUAACUAACGCUCAUGGACGAAAGCCAGGGGAGCGAAAG
rnacentral:rRNA from 1 species